rnacentral:rRNA from 1 species
CCUACGGGCGGCUGCAGUGGGGAAUAUUGCACAAUGGGCGCAAGCCUGAUGCAGCCAUGCCGCGUGUGUGAAGAAGGCCUUCGGGUUGUAAAGCACUUUCAGCGGGGAGGAAGGCGUUAAGGUUAAUAACCUUGUCGAUUGACGUUACCCGCAGAAGAAGUACCGGCUAACUCCGUGCCAGCAGCCGCGGUAAUACGGAGGGUGCAAGCGUUAAUCGGAAUUACUGGGCGUAAAGCGCACGCAGGCGGUCUGUCAAGUCGGAUGUGAAAUCCCCGGGCUCAACCUGGGAACUGCAUUCGAAACUGGCAGGCUAGAGUCUUGUAGAGGGGGGUAGAAUUCCAGGUGUAGCGGUGAAAUGCGUAGAGAUCUGGAGGAAUACCGGUGGCGAAGGCGGCCCCCUGGACAAAGACUGACGCUCAGGUGCGAAAGCGUGGGGAGCAAACAGGAGUAGAUACCCCUGUAGUC